CCCUCCCGACCGCACGUGCCGGCGCGCUCCUCCGCCGUCCCCUGCUCAGCCCAGCGCAGCUCUCCCAGCCGCCGUCCGUCCAUCCAGCAUGUCUCAGUGCGCCCACUCUGCGGACGUGCAGCCGUGCCGCCGGCGGUAUAGACGCCUCGGCGCGCCUGUCAGGGGUGCGGCCACCAGGACGAGAACUGGCUCUGUCUCCACUGCUAUAAGGUGCUGUGCAGCCGCUUCGCCAAGGAGCACAUGAUCAAGCACAGCACGGAGGCCAACCACCACGUGGUGCUCAGCCUGGCCGACCUCUCCACUUGGUGCUACGGCUGCGACUCGUACGUCGACAACGACAAGACGCAGGCGGCCAAGGACGCGGCGCACGCCAGCAAGUUCGGCAAGUAGACUCGGCGGCGGCUGGGGACCGUCGGCCGCGGCCCAAGCGCGCGGCGCGGGACCAAGGCGGCGCGACCAGGUCCUGCCUCCCCAUCUGCUAUUCGCUGCGCUGUUAUUGCUUGCACUGACGUGUCAAGGAUAAAAAUUGCCUCGUGAGCCCGGCACUGCGGCUCGCUGGACUAGCUGCAUGCGAUGUGGCUGUGAAUGUAAGGGAGGCAUUUACGGAUUGUCUGCUUGAGGAAACACGUGUUCCUCACGAUGUUUGUGUCCGCCACCGAGAUUCGACAUACAUGUGAAGAGAUAUCACCAAAAUGCACUGGCUUUGAACAAUACACACGAUAACCAGCUGAAAGGAAA